rnacentral:rRNA from 1 species
GACGAACGCUGGCGGCGUGCUUAACACAUGCAAGUCGAACGGAAAGGCCCUGCUUUUGUGGGGUGCUCGAGUGGCGAACGGGUGAGUAACACGUGAGUAACCUGCCCUUGACUUUGGGAUAACUUCAGGAAACUGGGGCUAAUACCGGAUAGGAGCUCCUGCUGCAUGGUGGGGGUUGGAAAGUUUCGGCGGUUGGGGAUGGACUCGCGGCUUAUCAGCUUGUUGGUGGGGUAGUGGCUUACCAAGGCUUUGACGGGUAGCCGGCCUGAGAGGGUGACCGGCCACAUUGGGACUGAGAUACGGCCCAGACUCCUACGGGAGGCAGCAGUGGGGAAUAUUGCACAAUGGGCGGAAGCCUGAUGCAGCAACGCCGCGUGCGGGAUGACGGCCUUCGGGUUGUAAACCGCUUUCGCCUGUGACGAAGCGUGAGUGACGGUAAUGGGUAAGAAGCACCGGCUAACUACGUGCCAGCAGCCGCGGUGAUACGUAGGGUGCGAGCGUUGUCCGGAUUUAUUGGGCGUAAAGGGCUCGUAGGUGGUUGAUCGCGUCGGAAGUGUAAUCUUGGGGCUUAACCCUGAGCGUGCUUUCGAUACGGGUUGACUUGAGGAAGGUAGGGGAGAAUGGAAUUCCUGGUGGAGCGGUGGAAUGCGCAGAUAUCAGGAGGAACACCAGUGGCGAAGGCGGUUCUCUGGGCCUUUCCUGACGCUGAGGGGCGAAAGCGUGGGGAGCGAACAGGCUUAGAUACCCUGGUAGUCCACGCUGUAAACGGUGGGUACUAGGUGUGGGGUCCAUUCCACGGGUUCCGUGCCGUAGCUAACGCUUUAAGUACCCCGCCUGGGGAGUACGGCCGCAAGGCUAAAACUCAAAGGAAUUGACGGGGCCCCGCACAAGCGGCGGAGCAUGCGGAUUAAUUCGAUGCAACGCGUAGAACCUUACCUGGGUUUGACAUGGAUCGGGAGUGCUCAGAGAUGGGUGUGCCUCUUUUGGGGUCGGUUCACAGGUGGUGCAUGGCUGUCGUCAGCUCGUGUCGUGAGAUGUUGGGUUAAGUCCCGCAACGAGCGCAACCCUUGUUCACUGUUGCCAGCACGUUAUGGUGGGGACUCAGUGGAGACCGCCGGGGUCAACUCGGAGGAAGGUGGGGAUGACGUCAAGUCAUCAUGCCCCUUAUGUCCAGGGCUUCACGCAUGCUACAAUGGCUGGUACAGAGAGUGGCGAGCCUGUGAGGGUGAGCGAAUCUCGGAAAGCCGGUCUCAGUUCGGAUUGGGGUCUGCAACUCGACCUCAUGAAGUCGGAGUCGCUAGUAAUCGCAGAUCAGCAACGCUGCGGUGAAUACGUUCCCGGG